rnacentral:misc_RNA from 1 species
AUGGUUUAGUGAGGCCUUCUGACUGGCGCCGCUACUCUGGCAACAGAGCGGCGGAUGCCGGGAAGUUGGUCAAACUUGAUCAUUUAGAGGAAGUAAAAGUCGUAACAAGGUUUCCGUAGGUGAACCUGCGGAAGGAUCAUUACCGAUAGMACGAAUCCAAMCUGGUUAUCAUUAACCCGUGUGAACUGUACUUAACCUUUAGGGGUCGGUGAUAUCGCCGUUAAAUGGCCGUAAAUGGCCAGCCCCGCCUUUCGCCAUUGUGUACGCACUUGAAUGUAGCAGUCUGAAACUAAACCUUGCUGCCCGUCCUGCCGGGCAGUAGUGAGUGUGAACGAAAACGAGAGAGACAACUUUUAACGGUGGAUCUCUUGGCUCACGUAUCGAUGAAGAACGCAGCCAGCUGCGAUAAGUAGUGUGAAUUGCAGAAUUCAGUGAAUCAUUGAAUCUUUGAACGCAAAUGGCGCUCUUGGGUUCUCCCAGGAGCAUGUCUGUCUGAGUGUCGGAUAUUAUCUAACGCACUCGCAAGUGCGGAAUUGAGGCGUCACGGCGUAGUUUUAAACGCAAGUUUUUCGCCGUGUCCCUUGAAGGAAAGCGUGCUAGACUCGCAUCGUGCGGUUUCAAACUUGCACUCCAUGCGAAGGCUAAAACUAUUUUGUCCUUCGUCGGGGUGCCGGUCCGCGACAGACAGCGCGAGUUGGCCGAAAAAGGUGUAAAAAAGCAUCUUGACCUCAGAUCAGGCAAGGCUACCCGCUGAAUUUAAGCAUAUUAAUAAGCGGAGGAAAAGAAACUAACAAGGAUUCCCCUAGUAACGGCGAGUGAAGCGGGAAUAGCUCAAAUUUGAAAUCUCCGACGCUUGCGUCGGCGAGUUGUAGUUGCGAGAAGCACUUUCUCGGCGGAUCGGGCGUGCCUAAGUUGCUUGGAACAGUACGUCGCAGAGGGUGACAACCCCGUCUGUGGCGCGGCCGGCCGCUCACGA